AAUCAUCAACUCUUGUCUUUAUUGAUGAGGGCUUGGACUUGGAGGCUUGUGCUGGUUCUAACGAAUCGGCUCCUCUUGAAUGCAUUAGCUUGAACCUAUGCUGUAUCGGCUGUUCGGUGUGAUAAUUGUCUACGCCGUGGCUGUGAGGCUUUAAAAUUGUAGGAUCAGCUUCGAACCGUCCCUAUGAACGGGACAACAUCUUCAUUGAC
rnacentral:misc_RNA from 1 species